UCGACCUCAAAUCAGGUA
rnacentral:rRNA from 1 species